GUCUAGAUGACAGCGACUCUUAAGAAUCCUGUGCAGUGUCUGGGGUGACCAAUAGGUCCUCAAGAUCGCCGCAGUCCUGACUUCCUAGAGACAGAUAUGAGUCUAUAUCCAGGAUCUGUUUCCCACCAUGGAUUGAACCCAGGCCUCCAUCAGUGAAAAGUGCAGAGUUCCAAUCACUGGACCACCAAGAAAUUACCUGAUUCUAGGAUCCUAUCCUUUUUAAGAAGUUAAAGUUUUGGGAAUGAGAGAAGUGUGCCUGUCCUCCUAACAAGAUCUCUUGCAAGAAGUUCU